CCGGUUUUUGGGAGUUUCAAUGACCAUGAGUAUCCAGUGAAAGCUGUUUACACAUAUAUAUAGUCAGGCUUAUAUAUAACCAUAUAAAACUCGUCUUGAGUAAUAAUAAGUAAAAUAAAAUGUGCACGCACUUAAUAACUAUAUAACUCACUCGAAGUUGAAGGGGAAGAGUAUUUUUUGUUUUUCUUUUUGGUUCACAAAGAACCGCAUAAGAUUGGUGUAGACUUCUUUCUCAUGAGAUGCUGUACACACUGCCUGCGGAGCCUUGAAAACAAUAUAAGGGUCAAUGAACCCAAUACUAUUGUUAUUUCUGAUUCUGAGCUCUCUCAUUUGGUGCCUGCAUAUAUACAUGCAAAUUCUAAGUGUGUAAGGAUUAUAUACAUAUAAUUAAAGAAGGUAGAAGUUUAAUAAAAAGAAAGAAAUACUUACAGACAAAAGCGGCUGACAAG
rnacentral:lncRNA from 1 species